rnacentral:lncRNA from 1 species
GCGUCUCGCUUGUAGUGUUGUGAUGUGUGCGUGCAGCUGUGUGUUUGGGCUUUAUAAGUUGGUUCUUUAUUCUAUGUUGUGGGACGGUGUGGGUGUGGUCCAUGUUGGCCGUACAGGUGGUAGUUAUGCAACCGAGGGAUGAUCCUGUUGAAGUUUCCGGAGGUAUGCGGUUUUCAGCGGUCACGCCUGUUGCAGGAGUGUCACUCGACGAGGUUACGAGCUCGAAGCUGUGGUCAGAUUCCUCGUUGGCGUUCCGUAAUUCUCUUCGCACGGACGCGGUGUUGCUGCGAGAUCCUUAGUAUUGCUGCGUGCAGCAUUGUAACACUUGGUGGAGGCAUUUGAAGUGGUAGCCAAAAAUAUAAAGAAUCAUCCUUGUCUGCAUGAAUGCUUUCAAUUUCUAAAUGCAGUGGUAACUAUCACUAUUAGUGCAAGGCCCCCCACAUCUAUGCGGCAAGUACCAUAGCUCGAAACUGAAUUUUUCCUUUAGUGUUUCACAAGGCGUCUGAUAUGUCUACAUUAGAUGUAAUGUUUGUUUUUAUUUAUCCCAGUGUGGAGAGAGCAUCAUUAAAUUUUUUAUGCUUGCGUGUCUUGUUUUUUGGUUUAUUUCUGAAUUUAUCAAGCAGCAGUCUCAUGAUGCUAAAGUGACUUAUGUAAUGACAAUCAGCUUUUGUUUUGCAGAAAAACAACGCAUUUCCUGACCCAUUGUUUGACAUCCCCUCACUCGCAUAAUUUUGCAGAGUAUUCUACCUAUAUUGACUUGCUUAACCUCCAAUAAAGAGUCUUGCAUUUUCAAAUACGACUCUUUCCUUAAAAUCAUUCGACACUUCUCAUAAUUUCUGUACCUUGGGCUUCUGAUACUCUGCAUUCACCAUUUUUGCUUGUUUCUGACUAGAAAUGUCUUCUUUAAUUUAGAGCUUAAAUUUUACCUUUGGAACACACGGAAGGGCUUGCCAUUGCAUAUCUGCAUAAAAGGGAAACAUGUUUCAUUAAACAUUUGCAAAAUCCAAUUGAAGAUUGAUGAAUGCAGCUUGCAGUGUGAUAUGACUGAAUGAGCCAUAAAAGUAACUCAUCUCACUUGGUAAAUUAAAGCGCAUAUUAGUGUGAUGUACAAGAUACGUUACACUAAAGUGGUGGUUUCUCUUGCUUAUACAGCAAAAUAAU